UGUGUCCUUUCCCUAAGGUCUUCGAUUCCGAAAGCUUUCAUGGUUCACAAGAGCAACAGGCUUUGUCGAGGAGCUGCGGUGGAUUUUGAAUCGGGGUAGGUGUUUAUGGCCGUCUAUGAAGUGAAGUGGAGAAGAGAAGAGAAGAAGAAUGGACAGACUCGUGGGCCGGAAUCGAGGGAAGGCGAUGGGCGAUUGAUGUUACUCAUCUCAUUGCUCCCCCUCUUUUUUCCUGAAGAAGUUGAUAUUUGUGAUCCACGGGUUGAAACCAUUUGUAGUUGCUGGCGUUCCAACACGGAAAUUUGGUGAUCGGUUCCAUUCAUGUGAACAAGAAAUUGAGAUUUACCCAACACUCUUUGGUUCAUUUCUGAGGAUGUAGACUCAACUCAAUGAGAUCAGCAGCUGUAUGUGGUGGUACAAGCAGAUGCUGAGCAUCAACCUCCGUUAUCAGCAGAAUUUUUUCUCCGGAGUUUACUGAAUCUGCGUGCUCUGGGAGACAGGAAUGAAUCAAUUCGAUUAGGUGUCAUCAGAUACAUGUGAGACACCAGCAGCAACACUAAUUAGGUUCACAGUCUUUGGGUCCAUCUCUUGUUGCAACAGUUGCUACUAUUCCUCAUGGCUCAAGAAAUGUCAUUUCCACUGCAGAUGGCAAUGGGUUGAAGGAAAUCCUUGCUUGUGAGUACAAGUUUGCCAGUGGACUACAUAGAUUUUGCUUGAACUCGAAACUUCAUCCAUAUCUUUCCCAGGCCAGAAAACUUUUGGGAGCAGGUAGAACAAGAUAGUUUGAUAUGGACAACGGACGGCGUCAAACCUACCCUACUACUACUACUACUAAUUCAAGGGAUGUGAGUUGUUUCAAGUAAGAAGAUGACCUCAUGAACAGUCUCUGGAGUGGGCAAGACCUAUUCAGUUCAAAGAGGAAGCACCUAACACCAGACAGACAUAAAUAGGAGGUCAUAAGAAAACUACAAGAAACUUGACAUUCCAUUAUUGAUCUGCCAGACUACUUCCCCAAGUACUUGCCAUUGUAGUCUGUGGUUCAUUUGCCACCGUUUUAGUUGUGAGGAUAGGAUAUGCAAUAUUAUUCUGUGAGAUGGAGUAACUUUGGUCUGAAUUCAGGCAAAAAAAAACAAAGAAAGAAGAAGAAGAAGAA